rnacentral:lncRNA from 1 species
GUUCUUCUCUCCUCCAUUCUCAUCACCCAGCAAUCUCCACCAUCGCGUUGCCGUGACCGCCGCGAUCAUUUGCCACAUCAUCACCAUACUCGAUUUGGCUCUCACUGGACCAGCUUUUCAACUAUGCGCUAAUCUACAUCACCAAUCCAUCGCCGUUUUGGAGUAUGGAAGACGAUAUAGAAGAGUUCUCUUCUCCUGAAGAUACUAUCAAGCUAUUGUUCAGAUGUGCGUCGGUCAACACAAUAUCAAACAUCUUGUAG